GGGUCAAUAGCGCAGUUUGGCAGCGCAAUCGUUUCCUGAACGACAGGCCUCCGGUUCAAAUCCGGAUUGAUCCG